rnacentral:rRNA from 1 species
CCGUAGCAAUACGGGAGCGGCAGACGGGUGAGUAACGCGUGGGAACAUGCCCUUCGGUUCGGAAUAACCCAGGGAAACUUGGACUAAUACCGAAUACGUCCGUGAGGAGAAAGAUUUAUCGCCGAAGGAUUGGCCCGCGUCGGAUUAGCUAGUUGGUGAGGUAACGGCUCACCAAGGCGAUGAUCCGUAGCUGGUCUGAGAGGAUGACCAGCCACACUGGAACUGAGACACGGUCCAGACUCCUACGGGAGGCAGCAGUAGGGAAUUUUGGGCAAUGGGCGAAAGCCUGACCCAGCAACGCCGCGUGUGGGAUGAAGGCCCUCGGGUCGUAAACCACUGUCAGGAGGAAAGAAAAGUCGGCCGGGUAAUAUUCGGUCGACCUGACGGUACCUCCAAAGGAAGCACCGGCUAACUCCGUGCCAGCAGCCGCGGUAAUACGGAGGGUGCAAGCGUUGUUCGGAAUUACUGGGCGUAAAGCGCGUGUAGGUGGUUGAGUAAGUCGAAUGUGAAAGCCCCGGGCUCAACCCGGGAAGUGCAUCCGAAACUGCUCGACUAGAGUCCCGGAGAGGAAGGCAGAAUUCCCAAUGUAGGGGUGAAAUCCGUAGAUAUUGGGAGGAAUACCGGUGGCGAAGGCGGCCUUCUGGACGGUGACUGACACUCAGACGCGAAAGCGUGGGGAGCAAACAGGAUUAGAUACCCUGGUAGUCCACGCUGUAAACGUUGC